GACGAACGCUGGCGGCGUGCUUAACACAUGCAAGUCGAACGGUAAGGCCCUUCGGGGUACACGAGUGGCGAACGGGUGAGUAACACGUGGGUGAUCUGCCCUGCACUUCGGGAUAAGCCUGGGAAACUGGGUCUAAUACCGGAUAGGACCACUGCCUGCAUGGGUGGUGGUGGAAAGCUUUUGCGGUGUGGGAUGGGCCCGCGGCCUAUCAGCUUGUUGGGGGGGUGAUGGCCUACCAAGGCGACGACGGGUAGCCGGCCUGAGGGGGUGACCGGCCACACUGGGACUGGGAUACGGCGCAGACUCCUACGGGAGGCAGCAGUGGGGAAUAUUGCACAAUGGGCGCAAGCCUGGUGCAGCGACGCCGCGUGAGGGAUGACGGCCUUCGGGUUGUAAACCUCUUUCAGCACCGACGAAGCGCAAGUGACGGUAGGUGCAGAAGAAGGACCGGCCAACUACGUGCCAGCCGCCGCGGUAA
rnacentral:rRNA from 1 species